CCCCUAGAUGUUCUGGGCCGCACGCGCGCUACACUGAACAGUUCAACAAGUCUUAACCUUGGCCGAUAGGUCUGGUAAUCUUUGAACGCUGUUCGUGAUUGGGAUAGACCUUUGCAAUUAUGGGUCUUCAACGAGGAAUUCCUAGUAAACGCAAGUCAUCAGCUUGCAUUGAUUACGUCCCUGCCCUUUGUACACACCGCCCGUCGCACCUACCGAUUGAAUGGUCCGGUGAAAUCUCGGGACGGCGGCUUGGUCGCUUGCGUCCGACUGCUGAAACUUGAUUAAACCAUAUCAUUUAGAGGAAGGUGAAGUCGUANCA
rnacentral:rRNA from 1 species